GCACAAGCGGUGGAGCAUGUGGUUUAAUUCGAUGCAACGCGAAGAACCUUACCUGGCCUUGACAUGUCCGGAAUCCUGCAGAGAUGCGGGAGUGCCUUCGGGAAUCGGAACACAGGUGCUGCAUGGCUGUCGUCAGCUCGUGUCGUGAGAUGUUGGGUUAAGUCCCGCAACGAGCGCAACCCUUGUCCUUAGUUGCCAGCACGUAAUGGUGGGAACUCUAAGGAGACUGCCGGUGACAAACCGGAGGAAGGUGGGGAUGACGUCAAGUCCUCAUGGCCCUUACGGCCAGGGCUACACACGUACUACAAUGGUCGGUACAGAGGGUUGCAAUACCGCGAGGUGGAGCCAAUCCCAGAAAGCCGAUCCCAGUCCGGAUCGAAGUCUGCAACUCGACUUCGUGAAGUCGGAAUCGCUAGUAAUCGCGGAUCAGCUAUGCCGCGGUGAAUACGUUCCCGGGC
rnacentral:rRNA from 1 species